rnacentral:rRNA from 1 species
UUAAGCGACUAAGCGUACACGGUGGAUGCCCUGGCAGUCAGAGGCGAUGAAGGGCGUGCUAAUCUGCGAUAAGCGCCGGUAAGGUGAUAUGAACCGUUAUAACCGGCGAUACCCGAAUGGGGAAACCCAGUGUGAUUCGUCACACUAUCAUUAACUGAAUCCAUAGGUUAAUGAGGCGAACCGGGGGAACUGAAACAUCUAAGUACCCCGAGGAAAAGAAAUCAACCGAGAUUCCCCCAGUAGCGGCGAGCGAACGGGGAGGAGCCCAGAGCCUGAAUCAGCAUGUGUGUUAGUGGAAGCGUCUGGAAAGGCGCGCGAUACAGGGUGACAGCCCCGUACACAAAAGCGCAUGUGCUGUGAGCUCGAUGAGUAGGGCGGGACACGUGGUAUCCUGUCUGAAUAUGGGGGGGACCAUCCUCCAAGGCUAAAUACUCCUGACUGACCGAUAGUGAACCAGUACCGUGAGGGAAAGGCGAAAAGAACCCGGCGAGGGGAGUGAAAAAGAACCUGAAACCGUGUACGUACAAGCAGUGGGAGCACCCUUCGGGGUGUGACUGCGUACCUUUUGUAUAAUGGGUCAGCGACUUAUAUUCUGUAGCAAGGUUAACCGUAUAGGGGAGCCGGAGGGAAACGAGUCUUAAUUGGGCGUUAAGUUGCAGGGUAUAGACCCGAAACCCGGUGAUCUAGCCAUGGGCAGGUUGAAGGUUGGGUAACACUAACUGGAGGACCGAACCGACUAAUGUUGAAAAAUUAGCGGAUGACCUGUGGCUGGGGGUGAAAGGCCAAUCAAACCGGGAGAUAGCUGGUUCUCCCCGAAAGCUAUUUAGGUAGCGCCUCGUGAAUUCAUCUCCGGGGGUAGAGCACUGUUUCGGCUAGGGGGCCAUCCCGGCUUACCAACCCGAUGCAAACUGCGAAUACCGGAGAAUGUUAUCACGGGAGACACACGGCGGGUGCUAACGUCCGUCGUGAAGAGGGAAACAACCCAGACCGCCAGCUAAGGUCCCAAAGUCAUGGUUAAGUGGGAAACGAUGUGGGAAGGCCAGACAGCCAGGAUGUUGGCUUAGAAGCAGCCAUCAUUUAAAGAAAGCGUAAUAGCUCACUGGUCGAGUCGGCCUGCGCGGAAGAUGUAACGGGGCUAAACCAUGCACCGAAGCUGCGGCAGCGACACUCAGGUGUUGUUGGGUAGGGGAGCGUUCUGUAAGCCUGUGAAGGUGUGUCGUGAGGCAUGCUGGAGGUAUCAGAAGUGCGAAUGCUGACAUAAGUAACGAUAAAGCGGGUGAAAGCCCGCUCGCCGGAAGACCAAGGGUUCCUGUCCAACGUUAAUCGGGGCAGGGUGAGUCGACCCUAAGGCGAGGCCGAAAGGCGUAGUCGAUGGGAAACGGGUUAAUAUUCCCGUACUUGGUGUUACUGCGAAGGGGGGACGGAGAAGGCUAUGUUGGCCGGGCGACGGUUGUCCCGGUUUAAGCGUGUAGGUGUGUGUUCCAGGUAAAUCCGGUUCACUUUAACACUGAGGCGUGAUGACGAGGCACUACGGUGCUGAAGCAACAAAUGCCCUGCUUCCAGGAAAAGCCUCUAAGCAUCAGGUAACAUCAAAUCGUACCCCAAACCGACACAGGUGGUCAGGUAGAGAAUACCAAGGCGCUUGAGAGAACUCGGGUGAAGGAACUAGGCAAAAUGGUGCCGUAACUUCGGGAGAAGGCACGCUGACACGUAGGUGAAGUGAUUUACUCAUGGAGCUGAAGUCAGUCGAAGAUACCAGCUGGCUGCAACUGUUUAUUAAAAACACAGCACUGGUGCAAACACGAAAGUGGACGUAUACGGUGUGACGCCUGCCCGGUGCCGGAAGGUUAAUUGAUGGGGUCAGCGCAAGCGAAGCUCCUGAUCGAAGCCCCGGUAAACGGCGGCCGUAACUAUAACGGUCCUAAGGUAGCGAAAUUCCUUGUCGGGUAAGUUCCGACCUGCACGAAUGGCGUAAUGAUGGCCAGGCUGUCUCCACCCGAGACUCAGUGAAAUUGAACUCGCUGUGAAGAUGCAGUGUACCCGCGGCAAGACGGAAAGACCCCGUGAACCUUUACUAUAGCUUGACACUGAACAUUGAGCCUUGAUGUGUAGGAUAGGUGGGAGGCUUUGAAGCGUGGACGCCAGUCUGCGUGGAGCCGACCUUGAAAUACCACCCUUUAAUGUUUGAUGUUCUAACGUGGACCCGUGAUCCGGGUUGCGGACAGUGUCUGGUGGGUAGUUUGACUGGGGCGGUCUCCUCCUAAAGAGUAACGGAGGAGCACGAAGGUUGGCUAAUCCUGGUCGGACAUCAGGAGGUUAGUGCAAUGGCAUAAGCCAGCUUGACUGCGAGCGUGACGGCGCGAGCAGGUGCGAAAGCAGGUCAUAGUGAUCCGGUGGUUCUGAAUGGAAGGGCCAUCGCUCAACGGAUAAAAGGUACUCCGGGGAUAACAGGCUGAUACCGCCCAAGAGUUCAUAUCGACGGCGGUGUUUGGCACCUCGAUGUCGGCUCAUCACAUCCUGGGGCUGAAGUAGGUCCCAAGGGUAUGGCUGUUCGCCAUUUAAAGUGGUACGCGAGCUGGGUUUAGAACGUCGUGAGACAGUUCGGUCCCUAUCUGCCGUGGGCGCUGGAGAACUGAGGGGGGCUGCUCCUAGUACGAGAGGACCGGAGUGGACGCAUCACUGGUGUUCGGGUUGUCAUGCCAAUGGCACUGCCCGGUAGCUAAAUGCGGAAGAGAUAAGUGCUGAAAGCAUCUAAGCACGAAACUUGCCCCGAGAUGAGUUCUCCCUGAGACUUAGAGUCUCCUGAAGGAACGUUGAAGACGACGACGUUGAUAGGCCGGGUGUGUAAGCGCAGCGAUGCGUUGAGCUAACCGGUACUAAUGAACCGUGAGGCUUAACCUU